rnacentral:rRNA from 1 species
GAUGAACGCUGGCGGCGUGCCUAAUACAUGCAAGUCGAGCGAACGGACGAGAAGCUUGCUUUUCUGAUGUUAGCGGCGGACGGGUGAGUAACACGUGGAUAACCUACCUAUAAGACUGGGAUAACUUCGGGAAACCGGAGCUAAUACCGGAUAAUAUUUUGAACCGCAUGGUUCAAAAGUGAAAGACGGUCUUGCUGUCACUUAUAGAUGGAUCCGCGCUGCAUUAGCUAGUUGGUAAGGUAACGGCUUACCAAGGCAACGAUGCAUAGCCGACCUGAGAGGGUGAUCGGCCACACUGGAACUGAGACACGGUCCAGACUCCUACGGGAGGCAGCAGUAGGGAAUCUUCCGCAAAGGGCGAAAGCCUGACGGAGCAACGCCGCGUGAGUGAUGAAGGUCUUCGGAUCGUAAAACUCUGUUAUUAGGGAAGAACAUAUGUGUAAGUAACUGUGCACAUCUUGACGGUACCUAAUCAGAAAGCCACGGCUAACUGCGUG